rnacentral:rRNA from 1 species
GACGAACGCUGGCGGCGUGCUUAACACAUGCAAGUCGAACGAUGAAGCUGGAGCUUGCUCUAGCGGAUUAGUGGCGAACGGGUGAGUAACACGUGAGCAAUCUGCCCUUGACUCUGGGAUAACUGCGGGAAACUGUAGCUAAUACCGGAUACUUUCACCGGGGGGCAUCCUCUGGUGAUGAAAGAAUUUCGGUCAAGGAUGAGCUCGCGGCCUAUCAGCUUAUUGGUGAGGUAACGGCUCACCAAGGCGACGACGGGUAACCGGCCUGAGAGGGUGACCGGUCACACUGGGACUGAGACACGGCCCAGACUCCUACGGGAGGCAGCAGUGGGGAAUAUUGCACAAUGGGCGCAAGCCUGAUGCAGCAACGCCGCGUGAGGGAUGAAGGCCUUCGGGUUGUAAACCUCUUUUAGCAGGGAAGAAGCGAAAGUGACGGUACCUGCAGAAAAAGCACCGGCUAACUACGUGCCAGCCGCCGCAGUAA